rnacentral:rRNA from 1 species
UACGUAGGGUGCAAGCGUUAAUCGGAAUUACUGGGCGUAAAGCGUGCGCAGGCGGUUAUUUAAGUCAGGUGUGAAAGCUCUGGGCUUAACCUAGGAAUUGCGCUUGAGACUGGAUAGCUUGGAGUGCGGCAGAGGGAGGUGGAAUUCCACGUGUAGCAGUGAAAUGCGCAGAUAUCAGGAGGAACACCAAUGGCGAAGGCAGCUCGCUGGGACGGUACUGACGCUGGAGGCGCGGAAAGCGUGGGGAGCAAACAGG